CCUACGGGAGGCAGCAGUGAGGAAUCUUGGUCAAUGGACGAGAGUCUGAACCAGCCAAGUAGCGUGAAGGAUGACUGCCCUAUGGGUUGUAAACUUCUUUUAUAUGGGAAUAAAACGUUCCACGUGUGGGAUUUUGUAUGUACCAUAUGAAUAAGGAUCGGCUAACUCCGUGCCAGCAGCCGCGGUAAUACGGAGGAUCCGAGCGUUAUCCGGAUUUAUUGGGUUUAAAGGGAGCGUAGGUGGAUUGUUAAGUCAGUUGUGAAAGUUUGCGGCUCAACCGUAAAAUUGCAGUUGAAACUGGCAGUCUUGAGUACAGUAGAGGUGGGCGGAAUUCGUGGUGUAGCGGUGAAAUGCUUAGAUAUCACGAAGAACUCCGAUUGCGAAGGCAGUUCACUGGACUGCAACUGACACUGAGGCUCGAAAGUGUGGGUAUCAAACAGGAUUAGAUACCCGAGUAGUC
rnacentral:rRNA from 1 species